AGUGAACGCUGGCGGUAGGCCUAACACAUGCAAGUCGAACGGCAGCACAGUAAGAGCUUGCUCUUACGGGUGGCGAGUGGCGGACGGGUGAGGAAUACAUCGGAAUCUACUUUUUCGUGGGGGAUAACGUAGGGAAACUUACGCUAAUACCGCAUACGACCUACGGGUGAAAGCAGGGGAUCUUCGGACCUUGCGCGAUUGAAUGAGCCGAUGUCGGAUUAGCUAGUUGGCGGGGUAAAGGCCCACCAAGGCGACGUUCCGUAGCUGGUCUGAGUGGAUGAUCAGCCACACUGGAACUGAGACACGGUCCAGACUCCUACGGGAGGCAGCAGUGGGGAAUAUUGGACAAUGGGCGCAAGCCUGAUCCAGCCAUACCGCGUGGGUGAAGAAGGCCUUCGGGUUGUAAAGCCCUUUUGUUGGGAAAGAAAAGCAGCAGGUUAAUACCCCGCUGUUCUGACGGUACCCAAAGAAUAAGCACCGGCUAACUUCGUG
rnacentral:rRNA from 1 species